GACGAACGCUGGCGGCGUGCCUAAUACAUGCAAGUCGAGCGAGCUUGCCUAGAUGAUUUUAGUGCUUGCACUAAAUGAAACUAGAUACAAGCGAGCGGCGGACGGGUGAGUAACACGUGGGUAACCUGCCCAAGAGACUGGGAUAACACCUGGAAACAGAUGCUAAUACCGGAUAACAACACUAGACGCAUGUCUAGAGUUUGAAAGAUGGUUCUGCUAUCACUCUUGGAUGGACCUGCGGUGCAUUAGCUAGUUGGUAAGGUAACGGCUUACCAAGGCAAUGAUGCAUAGCCGAGUUGAGAGACUGAUCGGCCACAUUGGGACUGAGACACGGCCCAAACUCCUACGGGAGGCAGCAGUAGGGAAUCUUCCACAAUGGACGAAAGUCUGAUGGAGCAACGCCGCGUGAGUGAAGAAGGGUUUCGGCUCGUAAAGCUCUGUUGGUAGUGAAGAAAGAUAGAGGUAGUAACUGGCCUUUAUUU
rnacentral:rRNA from 1 species